rnacentral:rRNA from 1 species
AACGAACGCUGGCGGCAUGCCUAACACAUGCAAGUCGAACGCGUGGCUUCGGCCACGAGUGGCGCACGGGUGAGUAACGCGUGGGAACCUGCCCGGCAGUACGGGACAACCGCGGGAAACUGCGGCUGAUACCGUAUACGGCCUGAGGGCGAAAGAAUUUCGCUGUCGGAGGGGCCCGCGUCGGAUUAGGUAGUUGGUGGGGUAACGGCCUACCAAGCCUGCGAUCCGUAGCUGGUCUGAGAGGAUGAUCAGCCACACUGGGACUGAGACACGGCCCAGACUCCUACGGGAGGCAGCGGUGGGGAAUAUUGGACAAUGGGCGCAAGCCUGAUCCAGCAAUGCCGCGUGAGUGAUGAAGGCCUUAGGGUUGUAAAGCUCUUUCGCCCGCGACGAUGAUGACGGUAGCGGGAGAAGAAGCCCCGGCUAACUCCGUGCCAGCAGCCGCCGUUAA